AGAGGGUGCAAGCGUUAAUCGGAAUUACUGGGCGUAAAGGGUGCGUAGGUGGUUUGUUAAGUCAGGCGUGAAAUCCUCGGGCUCAACCUGGGAACUGCGCUUGAUACUGGCAGACUCGAGUGUGGUAGAGGAUAGUGGAAUUCCCGGUGUAGCGGUGAAAUGCGUAGAUAUCGGGAGGAACAUCAGUGGCGAAGGCGGCUAUCUGGACUAACACUGACACUGAGGCACGAAAGCGUGGGUAGCAAACAGGAUUAGAUACCCUGGUAGUCCACGCCCUAAACGAUGGGUACUAGACGUCGGGAAGCUUGUCUUCUUGGUGUCGCAGCUAACGCAAUAAGUACCCCGCCUGGGGAGUACGGUCGCAAGAUUA
rnacentral:rRNA from 1 species